rnacentral:rRNA from 1 species
AGUGAACGCUGGCGGUAGGCCUAACACAUGCAAGUCGAACGGCAGCACAGUAAGAGCUUGCUCUUACGGGUGGCGAGUGGCGGACGGGUGAGGAAUACAUCGGAAUCUACUUUUUCGUGGGGGAUAACGUAGGGAAACUUACGCUAAUACCGCAUACGACCUACGGGUGAAAGCAGGGGAUCUUCGGUCCUUGCGCGAUUGAAUGAGCCGAUGUCGGAUUAGCUAGUUGGCGGGGUAAAGGCCCACCAAGGCGACGAUCCGUAGCUGGUCUGAGAGGAUGAUCAGCCACACUGGAACUGAGACACGGUCCAGACUCCUACGGGAGGCAGCAGUGGGGAAUAUUGGACAAUGGGCGCAAGCCUGAUCCAGCCAUACCGCGUGGGUGAAGAAGGCCUUCGGGUUGUAAAGCCCCUUUGUUGGGAAAGAAAAGCAGCAGGUUAAUACCCCGCUGUUCUGACGGUACCCAAAGAAUAAGCACCGGCUAACUUCGU